GCAUUCGAAGCCAAAGAAACUCUACCAUCUCUACGUCCCGUUGGUACUUGCCAGCCUGUUCCUUGAGU
rnacentral:sRNA from 1 species